rnacentral:snoRNA from 1 species
AUUAAAUAUAGAAAGGAACAGGAUCUCUUGCCAUUGGGUGUGAUGUGACUGCCCCUCAAAAGUGAAGAUGGAGAUUCUACAGCA